UAUAAAUCUGGACUUAUAAAUUACGUUCUAUGUUGAAUUGGUAAUUUUAUUUUGAUUGAUAAUAUGCAUAAAAUUAUUUUGGAUGUUUAUUUUUUUUGGAUAUGGGAUAGGCAUGGGGCGGGUAUAGGUUGGGUAUGGAGAAAUGGGUUACCUAUGAGUAUCUCCAAAUCCAUUGGGUAUGGGGAUGGGUAUCUCUUUUCUUAUCCGAUCGGAUAUCGGAUGGAGUUUGGGUAUAAGGUAUUA
rnacentral:lncRNA from 1 species